UGACCUCGGAUCAGGUAGGGAUACCCGCUGAACUUAAGCAUAUCAAUAAGCGGAGGAAAAGAAACCAACAGGGAUUGCCCCAGUAACGGCGAGUGAAGCGGCAAGAGCUCAAAUUUGAAAGCUGGCUCCUUCGGGGUCCGCAUUGUAAUUUGCAGAGGAUGCUUCGGGAGCGGUCCCCAUCUAAGUGCCCUGGAACGGGACGUCAUAGAGGGUGAGAAUCCCGUAUGGGAUGGGGUGUCCGCGCCCGUGUGAAGCUCCUUCGACGAGUCGAGUUGUUUGGGAAUGCAGCUCUAAAUGGGUGGUAAAUUUCAUCUAAAGCUAAAUAUUGGCCGGAGACCGAUAGCGCACAAGUAGAGUGAUCGAAAGAUGAAAAGCACUUUGAAAAGAGAGUUAAAAAGCACGUGAAAUUGUUGAAAGGGAAGCGCUUGCGACCAGACUCGCUCGCGGGGUUCAGCCGGCAUUCGUGCCGGUGUAUUUCCCCGCGGGCGGGCCAGCGUCGGUUUGGGCGGUCGGUCAAAGGCCCUCGGAAGGUAACGCCCCUAGGGGCGUCUUAUAGCCGAGGGUGCAAUGCGACCUGCCUAGACCGAGGAACGCGCUUCGGCUCGGACGC
rnacentral:rRNA from 1 species